AAAAGUAUUGGCCUCUAGGGCUUACACCAACAACUUCUUCUUAUGCAACCUUUGAAUUACUUUCUUGAUCUUUCUUUCCUCCUCAAUAUUGACUGGCAUAAUGUCGCCUUCCAACAACCACAUGCUUUUUUUUUCUUUGGCUCCUCAACAUAUUUCUUGCCUCCUCUUUGAUGGAAUUACUUAGUAUUUAUGUCGCCUUCCAACAACCACAUGCUUUUUUUU
rnacentral:lncRNA from 1 species